UCACAACCCAAACAUCAAUACUACCCAAAAUUUCCAGUCCAAUGGUCAACAGAAAGCAAAUCAGAAAAUAAUAAUCUCCCUUUUAGCUCAAAUACUAAUUCCAAAGUUCAAACCAUGCCACCCCACCUAGUGUCUAAGCCAUCCUUCUCAGCUACAGUGCCAGCUGCUCUUGCCAAUAGCUCAAGUACCAAGUAACCAGUGGAAAUUACGCACGGUACUCAUAUGGGUAAACCCACAGUAUACUUCACUGCCCAUGACUAUUUUAUUACAUUAGCUGAAGAUUGGAAAUUUACAAUUGUUGGGAAGUUCACCUGAGGUAAACCUAGUAUGGAAGAAGUAAAGAGGUUGUUCAUGAGUCAUAUCCCUCUCAAAGUUACUGUUAAAUAGCCUACUAUGAUAUAAAUCAUGUUUAUAUUGACUUUACCAAUGAAGCAGACUUCUACCACAUAUACUUUAGACCAUUCACCACUCUUGGUCCAUAUAUAAUGAAGAUUAUUAGAUGGACCCUUGAUUUUGCCCUUGAAUGUGAAACUACAAUUGCCCAUGUAUGGAUUUUGAUUCAUCAUCUCCCCUGGCAUCUUUUUAGAUGGGACACCUUGUACAGAAUGGUUAGCUCAAUUAGUAUUACCAUGGCCCCGGAUAUGGCCACUUACUCUAAGUAUAGGGGUAACGUGGCUAAGCUUAAAGUUGAAAUUGACCUCUUAAAGCCUAGACAUGAUCAAAUCUGGCUGGGUUUUAAGAGGUUAGAUAGUAUUGAGGAAGAUGGAUACUGGUUAGAUAUUUAAUACAAGGGUGCCCCAUCAUAUUGCCGAUAUUUUUGUAUGCAAGAACACGAUCUACUCUCCUCCAGAAAUAAGAAAAGAGAUAAAGAAGUUCAGUAUCAAGCCUCAGCCAACACUGAGGAGAUUGAUGAUCAAUAGAGAGUUCAAAGAGGAAACAAGAAAUUACAUCAACACAUAAUUGGGAAUACUAACUUGAAUAUGCUACCACAACAACUUCAUCAGGAAGUCAUUCUCACAGGGAAAAAUUCACAACCAGAGAGGGCAAACCAACCAACUAUAUAGCUACCAAAUGAUGGAACGCAAGACAAACAGAAACAAGUUUUGUACAAGAACAAUCCAGUUGAACAUAUAGCCCAAUUGUACCAGGCAUAGAAACACAAGAAUAGACCUAAAAAAAAAGUACAAUGGCAAGUUAACCAGAGCAAACAACAGACCAAUAUUCAUCAACAUCAUAGCACAAAAUAACCAACUCCACCAACAACUGAGUCAAGCCAAGUUAAUCUAAAUGCAAAACCUGAUAAACCCCAAAACACAACACCUCAGACCAAUCCUAAUAUGCAAUAUCCCAUUAAGAAAGGUUCUCAGAUGCUCCCUGAUAAUAUUACCAAGCCAAAACACCAAAGUAGUUCUGAUAUCACCUCUACUUUUGUUGUUCCAAAACAACAAAAUAUAUCCAUCCCAGUUUCUAAAAUUCCAUAGACAACACAAAUUAGCCCUCCACUACCAAGAAACCAGAUAGAAAAUGCACACACAAAUCCCAUUUCUCAAGAGCCUCCAGACCCUCAUCCUCCUGAUAAUCCAACCUCUAAAAACCCCUGCACCAGAUAACAAUCCUAUUAAGCACAAUGUUCCUUCAGAGAAUAGUGAUGAAUUAGAGCUGGAUAUUGUAAAUGAUGAAGAUUCUGAAUUUGAAGGGGAAGAAUAAAAAAUUGCUGAAAAUAAUCAAGUUGUUAGUGAUUCCGAGAAUGACUUUGAAAGUGUUGAAGAUCAGUCUAAAAGUGAGAAAAGUCUUGAUGCUCAAUCAACUACCAGUGAUGAACAUACUAAAAGAUUACUAGAAGCAUUCUCACAUCAAUCACCACCACCAGAUGAAAUUGUUCAAGCCUUUGGAGAUAUAACUGAUAGACACCACCUCUCACCUAGGGGGCAUGAGGUAACCAGAGGUGGACUCUCAUUAACCAGAGGUGGACUCACCUUUAGGGAGGGUAGAGGUAAUAGAAAAGGCAAAGGUAUUCCUCCUGUGAAAUUUUCACAGGACAAUGAUGAUCAAUCUGCAUCCUUUUAAUGAUUAAGUCUCUUAUUUAGAAUAUUAGAGGCAUCACUUCACAGGGUGCCUUUGACAGACUUAAGCAACUCAAAAGAAAUCUCAACCUUUUAUUCAUUGCUAUCAUGGAACCUUUCAGUGGAAGGAAAAAGUUAGAGAAAUUUAGGAGAGGACUUGGGUUUGAUUUUGCGUAUGCCAACUGGAACAAUAAAAUAUGGUUCUUUGGUGAUAGCUCUAUCAACUGUAUUGUUAUUGAAGACCUUCCUCAACUUAUCAAUUGCUCAAUUGAUAAUAAUGGGGAGACUUUAUACAUGAACUUUAGUGUAUGCUAAAUGCAAACCUAAUCUCAGGGAGCCUCUAUGGGAUAGCAUCAAAUCUCUACAUGGAUGAUGAUUGGUGAUUUUAACGUUAUUAUUGAUCCUUAGGAGAAAGGGGGGAUCCAAAAUAUGUCUAAAAGCUUGCCCUUCAUCAACUGCAUUGUGGAUAAUGGCCUUCUGGAUCUUGGUUGCAUUGGCAGUCCUUUUACUUGGUGUAAUGGCUGAGCACCUACUACGAGGAUAUGUGCAAGAUUGGAUAGAGCUCUUGUUAAUUAACUCGGAAUGGUUAGGGAAUUUUGCAGAUACCUCUGUCACGCACUUGGUCAGAACUGACUAUGAUUAUGCUCAUUUGCUUGUUUCCACUUUCAAUCCACAAUUGGAGCCUAAAAAUUAUUUCAGAUUCUUAGAUCUUUGGACUAAACAGGAGGGUUUUAUGCAAGUGGUGGAAUAAUCCUGGCAACUACAAGUAGAAGGAGGCCCUAUGUGGAGAUUUCAUCUCAAGCUAAAAAAUAUUUGUAAGAGUCUUUCCUUUUGGUCCAAGAAUUCUAUUGGGAAUAUUUUUGAUAAGACCAAGGAAUUGCAGAAUACACUUGAGGUAUUAGAGGAAAGAUGUCUAAAUGACAAUUCUAAAAGUAAUAGGAUGGAAUACAAUAAUGUGAAUGCACAGUUGAUUAGACACAUAAAAAAUGAAGAGUCAUUUUGGAGACAAAAAGCUGGCUUGAAGUGGUUUACGGAUGGUGACAAUAACACUAGGUUCUUUCACUCUAUAAUUAAUUCCAGAAGGAAACAAUUACAAUUUACAAGAAUCAAGAAGCAAGAUGGUACCUGGAUUAAGAACAAGGAUGAUAUAGUUACUGAAACUAUUAACUUUUUUGAGCAAUAGUUCACACAAGAAACUACUUGCAAAGAUUUUUCAAAGAUCAGAGGGCUUAACAGAGUAAUAAAUGAAGAAGAUAACUUGGUUUUAGAGGCACUCCCUACCAUGAACUGAAAUAGGUAGUAUUCUCCAUGGAAAGUAGCAUGUCGCCUGGCCCCGAUGGCAUUUCUGAAAAAUUCUUUCGACACUACUGGAAUAUAAUUUAUGUUGAUCUUUAUCAGGUGGUUUUGGAAUUCUUCUCUGGGCAACCACUUCCCAGAUCAUUCACUCAUACAUGCCUUUUCCUUAUCCCUAAAAUUGAUAACCCGCAACAAUUUACUGAUUUCAGACCUAUUAGUCUAAGCAACUUCACUUCCAAAAUUAUCUUAAAGUUGCUUAAUAAUAGGCUAGCCCCUCUUAUGAAUAUAAUUAUUUCUCCAAACCAAACUGGUUUCCUUAAAGGUAGGUCAAUCUCAGAUAAUGUCAUGCUUACUCAAGAACUUAUUCAUAACUUGAAUAGGUCCAAUGUCAAUGAUAAUGUAGUUUUUAAGCUAGACAUGGCAAAGGCCCUUGACAGAGUUCCUUGGGACUACCUCUGUCAAACCAUGAGGCAAUAAGGCUUUUCUGAAUGUUGGAUUGAUAUGGUUGCAAGAUUGAUCUCUAACAAUUGGUACUCCAUCAAUGUCAAUGGAGUGAGACAUGGGUUUUUCAAAUCUUAUAGGGGUCUUAAGCAUGGAGACCCACUAUCCCCUCACUUUUUAUCAUUGGGGCAGAAUUGCUAUCUUACAUGAUGGACCAGCUGAUAUAUGAUAAUUUUAUUAAAUUUUUUGUGGAUCGAGAGAGUCCUUUAAUCACUCAUCUCACAUAUGCUGAUGAUAUCAUCCUCUUCUCCUCUGGUGACUUGUUAUCUAUUCACACGAUGAUGAAAAGGUUGGAGAAUUAUAAACAAGCCUCAGAACAAAUGGUGAAUAAAAGAAAAUCUACAUUCCUGGUUUGGUGUUCAUGGGCCCUCAAAAUAUUAUUAUUGCAUCAAUAGUAAUAUGGAAACUACAAACCAUUUAUUUUGUGACGGUGAUGUGGCUCUAAAAGUUUGAAAAUAUUUUCAAGAUGCUUGUGGAUUGUCUAUUAACUCUGUUGGUGCUAUUCAGGCCAAAUUCAUCAGAUGGUGGCUUAUCAAACCAUAAAAAAAAAGUUCAUGACAUGAUAUUGCAAUGUCUCCCCUCUCUUAUCUGUUGAGAAAUAUGAAAAUAUAGAUGUACCUACAAAUAUGAGGGUAUCAGAAGUUCAAAUCAUAGAAGCAUUGAUCAAAUUACCUACUUGAUACAAUUGUUGUUUUCUACUGAAUUUCCUUCUCUGCCUUUUAUAUCUUCUUUCCCAAGGAUAUGUCAAUUGGUAGACAUAAUCAAACCUCAACUACACAUUAUUCCAGUGAGAUGGAGUAAAUCGAUUGUAUGGAAAUUCAAAUUAAAUGUUGAUGGUUGUAGCAAAGGAAACUCAGGUAAUGCAGGAGGUGGAGAGUUGUUAAGAGAUUAUCUCGAAUGUUUAAUCAUGGCUUUCACUGUUUA